rnacentral:rRNA from 1 species
UAGAGUUUGAUCAUGGCUCAGGACGAACGCUGGCGGCGUGCCUAAUACAUGCAAGUCGAACGAAACUUUCUUACACCGAAUGCUUGCAUUCACCGUAAGAAGUUGAGUGGCGGACGGGUGAGUAACACGUGGGUAACCUGCCUAAAAGAAGGGGAUAACACUUGGAAACAGGUGCUAAUACCGUAUAUCUCUAAGGAUCGCAUGAUCCUUAGAUGAAAGAUGGUUCUGCUAUCGCUUUUAGAUGGACCCGCGGCGUAUUAACUAGUUGGUGGGGUAACGGCCUACCAAGGUGAUGAUACGUAGCCGAACUGAGAGGUUGAUCGGCCACAUUGGGACUGAGACACGGCCCAAACUCCUACGGGAGGCAGCAGUAGGGAAUCUUCCGCAAUGGACGCAAGUCUGACGGAGCAAUGCCGCGUGAGUGAUGAAGGUCUUAGGAUUGUAAAACUCUGUUGUCAGGGAAGAACAAGUACCGUUCAAAUAGGGCGGUACCUUGACGGUACCUAACCAGAAAGCCCCGGCUAACUACGUGCCAGCAGCCGCGGUAAUACGUAGGGGGCAAGCGUUGUCCGGAAUUAUUGGGCGUAAAGGGCACGCAGGCGGUCUUCUAAGUCUGAUGUGAAAUCCCACGGCUUAACCGUGGUAGGUCAUUGGAAACUGGAGGACUUGAGUACAGAAGAGGAGAGUGGAAUUCCACGUGGAGCGGUGAAAUGCGUAGAGAUGUGGAGGAACACCAGUGGCGAAGGCGACUCUCUGGUCUGUAACUGACGCUGAGGUGCGAAAGCGUGGGUAGCGAACAGGAUUAGAUACCCUGGUAGUCCA